AGAGGUAAGAGGUACUACAGGGGUAGGAGUGAAAUCUUGUAAUCCCUGGUGGGACCACCUGUGGCGAAGGCGUCUUACCAGAACGGGUUCGACGGUGAGGGACGAAGCUGGGGGCACGAACCGGAUUAGAUACCCGGGUAGUCCCAGCCGUAAACGAUGCUCGCUAGGUGUCAGGCAUGGCGCGACCGUGUCUGGUGCCGCAGGGAAGCCGUGAAGCGAGCCACCUGGGAAGUACGGCCGCAAGGCUGAAACUUAAAGGAAUUGGCGGGGGAGCACAACAACGGGUGGAGCCCUGCGGUUUAAUUGGACUCAACGCCGGACAACUCACCGGGGGCGACAGCAAUAUGUAGGCCAAGCUGAAGACUUUGCCUGAAUCGCUGAGGAGAGGUGCAUGG
rnacentral:rRNA from 1 species